GUCUAGCCCUGAUUGAAACGGCAUCCUUUUUAUAGUCCUUUAAAUAGAGCUCAUAAUUUUAAAUAAAGAGAUUGCGACAGUUUACAAAAAAGUAAACUUCGCAAUGGCAACUAUAAAAAGAUAUAGUGGAAAGCAGGAAAUAGC
rfam:Polaribacter sp. SA4-12 genome.